CGAAGCGACGCCGCGUGAGCGAAGAAGGCCCUAGGGUUGUAAAGCUCUGUCGGGGGUUAUGAAAUGCAGGUUGGUUAAUACCCAACCUGUUUGACAAAGGCCCCAAAGGAAGCCACGGCUAACUCUGUGCCAGCAGCCGCGGUAAUACAGAGGUGGCAAGCGUUGUUCGGUAUUAUUGGGCGUAAAGAGCACGUAGGUGGUUUUGUAAGUCAGAUGUGAAAGCCUUCUGUUCAUAGGAAGAACGGCAUCUGAAACUGCAGAUCUUGAGUGUAGGAGGGGAGAGUG
rnacentral:rRNA from 1 species